rnacentral:rRNA from 1 species
UACGUAGGGGGCAAGCGUUGUCCGGAAUUAUUGGGCGUAAAGAGCGCGUAGGCGGUCCGAUAAGUCGGCUGUGAAAGUCAGGGGCUCAACCCUUGAAAGCCGGCCGAUACUGUCGGACUAGAGUCCGGAAGAGGCAAGUGGAAUUCCCGGUGUAGCGGUGAAAUGCGCAGAUAUCGGGAGGAACACCAAUGGCGAAGGCAGCUUGCUGGGACGGUACUGACGCUGAGGCGCGAAAGCGUGGGGAGCAAGCAGG